rnacentral:rRNA from 1 species
UACGUAGGGUGCGAGCGUUAAUCGGAAUUACUGGGCGUAAAGCGUGCGCAGGCGGUUGUGCAAGACAGAUGUGAAAUCCCCGGGCUUAACCUGGGAACUGCAUUUGUGACUGUACGGCUAGAGUGUGUCAGAGGGGGGGUAGAAUUCCACGUGUAGCAGUGAAAUGCGUAGAUAUGUGGAGGAAUACCGAUGGCGAAGGCAGCCCCCCUGGGAUAACACUGACGCUGCAGUGCGAACG